CUUAACACAUGCAAUUCGAACGAGCGAAAGAGUGCUUGCACUCUCUAGCUAGUGGCGGACGGGUGAGUAACACGUGAGCAAUCUGCCUUUCGGUGGGGGAUACCAAUUGGAAACGAUUGUUAAUACCCCAUAACAUAGAUAACCGCAUGACCUAUCUAUCAAAGAUUUAUUGCCGGAAGAUGAGCUCGCGUCUGAUUAGGUAGUUGGUGAGGUAACGGCCCACCAAGCCGACGAUCAGUAGCCGGACUGAGAGGUUGAACGGCCACAUUGGGACUGAGACACGGCCCAGACUCCUACGGGAGGCAGCAGUGGGGAAUAUUGCACAAUGGGCGAAAGCCUGAUGCAGCGA
rnacentral:rRNA from 1 species